GACAGAGGUGCCAAGCGUUAGGCGGAAUCACUGGGCUUAAAGCGCGUGUAGGCGGGUCUUUAAGUCAGGGGUGAAAUGCCAAGGCUCAACCUUGGAACUGCCUUUGAUACUGGAGAUCUUGAGUCCGGGAGAGGUGAGUGGAAUUGCGAGUGUAGAGGUGAAAUUCGUAGAUAUUCGCAAGAACACCAGUGGCGAAGGCGGCUCACUGGCCCGGAACUGACGCUGAGACGCGAAAGCGUGGGGAGCAAACAGG
rnacentral:rRNA from 1 species